rfam:Rozella allomycis CSF55 unplaced genomic scaffold scaffold_39, whole genome shotgun sequence.
AAUCAGAUAAUAUAAAUUUUAUUAUAUUAAGUUGCAAACUUAAAAAUAUUAGUUAAAGUCUAAUUCUGUUCU